ACCCAGUUCCCUCUCCCCUAUAGCACCCUCUCACUGCAAUGCCAUGGCCUUGGAGACUGAGAAAGAGAGACUUGUGGUCUGACCCUUUCCAUGGAAGUUUUUAUGCUUUGAUGCAGACGUGCUCAACCUCCGACGCACAGCCCACGUGCAUCCUGUGGAGCCUUGGAGUUACUCUCUGCUUGGCUGUUUAGGGCCGGGCCAUGCCAUCUUCUCCCCAUAGGGCCAGACUGCCCCCCCCCCACCCCCCAGGAAAGGCCAGACCAAUCCCUCUUCCCUCUGCCCAGCCAGACUGGGACUGGGCAAUGCCCUCUUCCUCCUGUAGGUUUGGGCCAUGCCCCUUCCUCUGCACAAAUGGAGCUGGCCAGGCUGCCCCUCCACCCUCUUCCUUGCGGCCGUAUGGGGUCCAGCUGCACCCACUCUGGGCACUGGAUCGGGUGCACCGGGCAGCUCUGCCCUGCGGAGGAACCAGACACUGCCUGGGCAGCCCAUCGGCCAAAAAGGUAGAGCGCCGCUGCUCACAACGACCGCCGGCUCUGUCUGCUCGCGCUCCAGCACCGCAGUUUCACUCUCAAGACCAUCGAUGGCCGGGAAAGACACCCCAGGAGACUGAAGAACGGUGUCCCGCAAGGCUCGAUACUUUCUCCAUUGCUUUUCAACUUGUCCCUUGUCGACCUGCCUGACACCCAGGCCGAGAAGUAUGGCUAUGCUGACAGCCUGGCUCUGACCAAAUCAAGCAAGCAAUGGGAAGCCACUGAAUCCACUUGGGUUUUGUCCCAGGCUGGGUAGGGAGCGAGCCUGUCAGGGCUCGAGGCCACAGAGCUGCCACUGCAGCCCCCCCCACCCCCUCCGUUUCUCUUGCGGGUAGCCCGGCGCCAUUUUGUGCUUUCCUCCCUGCUAAAAUGGCUGUCAGGGCUUCCUCAUCUGUUAGCGUCGGUCUGUCCCACCUCCGUGUCACUCACAGCAGACGCGAGUCAUUGCGACUCCUACAGCCCCUCCCCUCCCUCGCGGGAUGCGUCCGGGUCCCAAGGGACCACCUGCCCCCAACUGUUCCCUUCCUCCACAACCUGCGCCAUAAAAGGAGCCGCCCCCUCACUCCUUAACCACCCUCGGCCAUCGCCACGGCAGGAACAGUCUUGCCCCGCAAAGCCCUUCCAACCACCCGUCACCGGGACAGGAACUGCCGCGCGUUUCUCAACACUAUGACAGGAAAUGAGCCUCUCCUCUCUCUAACCAUUGUGACAGGAAAUGUCUUCCUGGGGCCCCCUAACAAGACACACUUCCCCCACCACCCUGCUGCCAACACUGUGAGAAGAUUUCCCGCGUCCCUAACUCCCAGAUACAGACAAUGAGGGUAGGAAGGGACCUCAGGAGGUCACAUCUAGUCCAGCCCCCUGGUCCAAGAAGGACCACCCCAACGACACCAUCCCAGCCAAGGCUUUGUCUAGCUGGGUCUUAAAAGACCUCUGAGGAUGGAGAGUCCCCCACCUCUCUGGGGAGCCUGUUCCAGGGCUUCACCACCCUCCUCACGAGAAAGUUUCCCCUGAUCUCUAACCUCAGAUUCCCUUGCUGCACCUUGAGCCCAUUGCGCCUCCUUGUGCCCAGCCCAAUGCCCCCCAGAAAGCUGGCUGCACAUCCUGUCCCUGUUAAACCCCCACCCAGAGUCAGCCAUAGCUCCAUCCUCUAUUUUUUCCACUCCGAUUCCCCGCAGAGCCAGCUGUAAUUCCUGUUCUCCUUAUACACAGUGUAACAACCUCAGAGGCAGCUGCAGCUCCUGUUCCUGUUAUAUCCAGUCUGACCUCUCCCCCCCAAGAAUCAGCAGCAGCUCCUCUCCCCAUUACAUACAGCCCAACUUGCCCUUCCAGAAGCAGCUGCAGCUCCUAUCCCUGUUAUACCCAUCUUUGCCCUGCCCGGGGCCAGCCACAGCUCCUACCCUAUUAUACCCAGCCUGAUCUCCCCCUCAGAAAACCCACCCAAUAGAAACACCCCUAGUCCUUCUCUCAGGACCCUACUAACCAUCUUCCACCCCUUUCAGGAAACACACACCACCUGCUUCUCACUGAGUCUCUAAGUCCCAGCUGCCUGGUCCCCUAUACUUUCAUCAACAAGCCUGUUGGGUGUGUUCCCCUCCCCCUUCCUGACCACAUCCUCCCAUGUUUCUGGAACUAAUGAUGUGUAAGAUCAUUCGUUGGGCGUGUGACAACGAACUUGAUGACAAAGUUGUACAGCAUCAGGACACUGACGAGGUGAAAGCGCUCGCUCCUUAGUGGGACACUGCUGACAGGUCUCUGUGGGGCCAGGUUCAACUACAAAACCCUGGAAGACCAAGCGUGAGGUGGGUCAUACACAAAUGGCUCCCAGCCUGAGCUCUUUCCAGAAAGCCAUGCCGGCACGGGGACAAAUGGAACCAGCCAUUCCUCAUCGUCUCCCGAGACACGUGAACAGCCACAAUGUCAGGCCCUUGAGUGUCGCCCAUCUCCUGCACACCCGGAACUGCCUUCAGCCUCUCGACUCCAAGACUCCCCACCUCCGCUCCUGCUUCAACCGGGCCAUGAUGGAACUCGGUAGCGAGCCUGUGUGCGUACAGGACAAUGCUUUUCUGGUGCUGCGGUGUGAGGGCCUGGAGCUCCACUUCCUCUCUGGCAAUGGUGAAAAUCAGAUCACUGUGUGGCGUGAUGGCCAGCAGGUUUGCUAUGAUGCCAAGGCCAAAGGGUGGUGGGCAUCCAUCGCCAGGUACCUCACACGGCCCCAUGCUUAUGAGCCAUCCAAGGGGAGCCAGUUGGUGGCUGCUUCCUAAGCUGAUCUCAAAAAAUACCAGUCAAUGGGCACCACAUCAGAACCUCACCCUUUCAUCAGUUCAUUUGCAGUAACUUUAACUCUGAAAGAAACAGUGUUAAGAGAUGCCACGGUUUGGCUACACUUGUAAAUACUGUAGAACAGGCUUGUCCAACAUGCUGCUCGCCAAGGCGUUUUCUGUGGCCUGUGGUGCUGUGACAGGAAACAAAAGUAAACAUGGUUUACUUACAUUCCCACCCCUUGUCCCUCCCCCACCCCUCAACAGCUUCCUAAUGGCUGCUGAAGGGCUGGGGAAGGGACAACAUUCCCACAUGCACCGCGGUGCAUGUGGGAAGAGGAGUAGCCAUGUGCCUCUCAGGACAGGAUGAGCCCAGCUGGAGCAGCAGGGGCUCAGCUGCACUUUCCCCCUACCUGUGCUGGUCAGUCCCGAGCGGCACACGGCUCCACUGCCACUUCUGCUGGCUGGUGCAGACCUGGCCAGGCUCCUUCUGUCCCCAGCAGCACAUGAGGAGCCAACUUCAGCUGCAUGCUGCUCCGGAUGGGAUGGACCCAGCCAGGUCAGCACUGGGCAGGAAAAGCGGCAUGUGGCUGAAACAGGCUUCUCACGUGCUGCUGGGGACGGGAGGAGCCCGGCCAGGUCUGCACUGGCCAGCAGAAGUGGUGGCGGAGCCAUGUGCUGCUUGGGAUGGGACAAGCCUGGCCGGAGCAGCAGGGGCUCAGCUGCAUUUUCCCCCUGCCUGCACUGGUCAUUCCCGAGUGGCACACGGCUCCGCCGCCGCUUCUGUUGGCUGGUGCCGACCUGGCCAGCCUCUUCCCAUUCCCAGCAGCACAUGGGAAGCCGGCUUCAGCUGCACGCUCCUUUUCCUGGCCGGUGCCGACCCGGCUGGGUGGGGCAGCAUGCGGCUGAAGCCAGCUUCCCACGUGAUGCUGGGGACACCCGGCUGGGUCAGCACUGGCCAGCAGAAGCAAUGGUGGAGCCUCCUGCCUUUUGGGACGAGCUGGUGCAGGUAGAGGGAAAGUGCAGCAGCACGUGGGGAAGCCACCACUUGAUAGGGGAUGGGAUGGGCUGGCUGGGCUGCACCCGGGAGGGAAAGCUGUGGCUGAGCCCCUGCAGCUCUGCUGUCUGCUCCUGCAAGACUGGACAAUGUGCUCAAGAACAGAGCAUGAGCGAUCUGGGCUCUGACGUAAAUUCGGAGCAGGUAAAAAUCUUUGUAAAAAUACUGUCCGGUGUUUGGAUUGUGUUUGCUUCUGUUUCUCUUUGUGCAGGAUUGGGGGUUCAACUUGUUACUAUUGGUUAAAGAUGUGUUACUAACAAGUUAUUAAUUCAAUAAAAGUUAAUCUUUUUGAA